AUGCUUGAGUAUAAAUUAGUCAUUCUUGGCUCAGGAGCUGUUGGAAAUUCUGCUUUGACUGUACAAUUUGUACAAAGAAUUUUGUUGAAAAACAUGGUCCUACAAUAAAAGAUAUUACAGAAAGCAAGUGGAAAUAGAUGCACAACUCUGUAUGCUUGACAUAUUGGAUACUGCAGGAACAGAACAAUUUACAGCAAUAAAGGGUUUGUACAUAAAAAAUGGACAAGGCUUUGUAUUAGCAUAUACCAUCCCAGCACAGUCCACAUUUUAUGAUUUACAAGAUCUGAGAGAACAGAUUCUUUAAGUUAAAGACACUGAUAUUGUCCCAGUGAUUGUUGGUAAUAAGUGUGACUUGGAAGAUAAAAGAGUUGUAGGGAAGGAACAAGGUCAAAAUCUAGCAAGACAAUGGAACAACUGUGCAUUCUUAGAAUCUUCUGCAAAAUAAAAAAUAAAUCUUAAUAAGACUUUUAUGACCUAGUGUGGCAAUUAACAGAAAAAACUCCAGUGCCUGGGAAGGCUUGCAAAAAGUCAUCAUGUCAGCUGCUUUAA
rnacentral:lncRNA from 1 species